rnacentral:rRNA from 1 species
GAUGAACGCUAGCGGCAGGCUUAAUACAUGCAAGUCGUGGGGCAGCAUGAGUAGCAAUACUUGAUGGCGACCGGCAAACGGGUGAGGAACACGUACACAACCUUCCUUCAAGCGGGGAAUAGCCCAGAGAAACUUUGGAUUAAUACCCCAUAAUAUAUUUGAUAAGGCAUCUUAUUAAUAUUAAAGCUUCGGCACUUGAUGAUGGGUGUGCGGCUGAUUAGAUAGUUGGCGGGGUAACGGCCCACCAAGUCUACGAUCAGUAGCUGAUGUGAGAGCAUGAUCAGCCACACGGGCACUGAGACACGGGCCCGACUCCUACGGGAGGCAGCAGUAAGGAAUAUUGGACAAUGGACGAAAGUACUGAUCCAGCCAUGCCGCCGUGAAGGACUUAAGGUCCUCUGGAUUGUAACUUCUUUAUUAAGGGACGAAAAAGGGACAUACUGUUCACUUG